rnacentral:rRNA from 1 species
AACGAACGCUGGCGGCAUGCCUAACACAUGCAAGUCGAACGAGACCUUCGGGUCUAGUGGCGCACGGGUGCGUAACGCGUGGGAACCUGCCCUUAGGUUCGGAAUAACUCCCGAAAGGGGUGCCUAUACCGGGUAAAGUUUUCCGGCCAAAGAUUUAUCGCCUUUGGAUGGGCCCGCGUUGGAUUAGCUAGUUGGUAGGGUAAAAGCCUACCAAGGCGACGAUCCAUAGCUGGUCUGAGAGGAUGAUCAGCCACACUGGGACUGAGACACGGCCCAGACUCCUACGGGAGGCAGCAGUGGGGAAUAUUGGACAAUGGGCGAAAGCCUGAUCCAGCAAUGCCGCGUGAGUGAUGAAGGCCUUAGGGUUGUAAAGCUCUUUUACCCGGGAUGAUAAUGACAGUACCGGGAGAAUAAGCUCCGGCUAACUCCGUG